CCUACGGGGGGCAUCAGUGGGGAAUAUUGGACAAUGGGGGGAACCCUGAUCCAGCCAUGCCGCGUGUGUGAAGAAGGCCCUCGGGUUGUAAAGCACUUUCAGUGAGGAAGAACGCCUGGUGGUUAAUACCCAUCAGGAAAGACAUCACUCACAGAAGAAGCACCGGCUAACUCCGUGCCAGCAGCCGCGGUAAUACGGAGGGUGCGAGCGUUAAUCGGAAUUACUGGGCGUAAAGCGCGCGUAGGUGGCUUGAUAAGCCGGUUGUGAAAGCCCCGGGCUCAACCUGGGAACGGCAUCCGGAACUGUCAAGCUAGAGUGCAGGAGAGGAAGGUAGAAUUCCCGGUGUAGCGGUGAAAUGCGUAGAGAUCGGGAGGAAUACCAGUGGCGAAGGCGGCCUUCUGGACUGACACUGACGCUGAGGUGCGAAAGCGUGGGUAGCAAACAGGAUUAGAUACCCCUGUAGUC
rnacentral:rRNA from 1 species